UACGUAGGGGGCUAGCGUUGUCCGGAUUUAUUGGGCGUAAAGAGCGUGUAGGCGGCCAGAUAGGUCCGUUGUGAAAACUCGAGGCUCAACCUCGAGACGCCGAUGGAAACCAUCUAGCUAGAGUCCGGAAGAGGAGAGUGGAAUUCCUGGUGUAGCGGUGAAAUGCGCAGAUAUCAGGAAGAACACCCGUGGCUAAGGCGGCUCUCUAGUACGGUACUGACGCUGAGACGCGAAAGCGUGGGGAGCGAACAGG
rnacentral:rRNA from 1 species